rnacentral:rRNA from 1 species
UACGUAGGGGGCAAGCGUUAUCCGGAUUUACUGGGUGUAAAGGGAGCGUAGGUGGUUCGGCAAGUCAGAUGUGAAAGCCCGGGGCUCAACCCCGGGACUGCAUUUGAAACUGUCGUACUAGAGUGCAGGAGAGGUAAGUGGAAUUCCUAGUGUAGCGGUGAAAUGCGUAGAUAUUAGGAGGAACACCAGUGGCGAAGGCGGCUUACUGGACUGUAACUGACACUGAGGCGCGAAAGCGUGGGGAGCAAACAGG